rnacentral:lncRNA from 1 species
CUGAGGGUAGUACUUGUACUACCAGAAGGCAUUAAAGUAAAUGCGGGUGUCUGGGUGUGUAGGAGGGGGAGGGAUGUGGGGGGAGUGUACGGUGUUCUGGGCCAGGCUUCCAGAACCUUUAAUUCAGAAUCAGAAUAAAUUUAUAGAAAUCUAAACUACUGCAUCGAUUUUCUUCAAACUUUUUGUGUAAACUUACAGUAAUUUAUCUCAGCGGAUAGGACAACCACAACAUCAAUUCGAUUGUCUGUUUGUUUUUGUUGCUGAUUUACCAGUUACCGAACGUCGUCAUCAUGUAGACAUGGCAAAAGACUAUACUAUGGAUUACCUUAUUCAUCAUUGUCAUUGUAAUUGUUUCGCAUAGCUAAAUGCUUCAUGAAGGGAAAAUGACCAUGAUUUUCAUGGUAGUGUAUCAAACCAUUUCUCUGAGUCACUCACUGAUUUUGUUGUGACGCCCAGGAAAAUGACCAUUAAAUGGGUUUGCUUGAUUUUCAUGGUAGUGCACUAAACCAUUUCUGUGAGUCACUCACUGAUAUCAACACCAUAUGAUGAGUAGUCAUCAUGUAUGGCUAAUGAUUAGAAGUUAGACAUGAAUAUGUAUCGUCCUCACCUAAAUUUGGAUGUGCACAUGUCUGUUUCAGAAAGAAAGUUAAGGAUAGGAGAAGAUGAGCACAUUAGCUUAGGCAUACCAGCAAUUUUAAAUCUACGUUGAUUGCAUCUGUUGGAAAAAUGGAAAUUUAUUUAACAUUUGAUUUUAACUGAAUAGUCGUAUGUGUAAUAUUUUCAAAUGCAAUCAUUGAUGUCUUAAAAUCUUCGAGAGCUGUGCCGUAUCACGACAGAAAUGUUUACCUAAAUCACAUUUUGACUUGGCAUUGUUGUAAUCAUUGUAAUUUUUCAUUUUCUAAUACACCACCGUUUUAACUAUU